rnacentral:lncRNA from 1 species
AAAAAAAGAAAAAAGAAACAGAAAUCGUUUUUAAUUUUUUGACUCCCAAAGAAUUUUCAGGGAGCCUGAGGUUUGCUGAUCACACUUACAGAACUACUGAUCUGGGCCAAUGUCACUUUUAUUUUUAAACCCAGAACCUUCCCUUUCGCAUGUGAGAGAGCAGAUAUAAUCCUUUUUCAGACAAUUUGCUUUUCUAUGGCUCUUUUCCUGUUUUUGAAACUUACGCCAAAGCCCUUUUGAGCAAUUAAUCUGAGAACCUUCUGCAGCCUGAGUGAGACAAUCUUACAUCCCCCAGCUAGGUCCCGCUCGCAAGCCCUACUAUCGCGAGAGGCCUCGAAUCCAGGUAGGGGUGGGGCUCAACUUCGUAUAUCCCAGGAGCCUUAGCGAAUUUCCAAUUUCCUAACUGCGCAUGUCCCUGCGUAGGCGCGUUAGACAUUCCUUCACUUCCGGACUCUCCAUAAGGUAUAAAUAUGGCUGCUUCGGGCUUGGCCAUCUCUUAGACAAAGGGUAUCUCACGUUUCUUCGUGUUGAAUACUUUGAAGAUUCCAGAUAACUUCUUUAGGCAGGUAAGUAAAUCAGCACUGAAUUGUUUUUGGAUUAACAGUAUUUGUCAGAUUAUCCUUGUUCUAAUUUGUGAAGGUCUACCUCUGAGACAUUUAAUCACUGAGCACAGAGCACUGAUUGUCUAUCCAUAUAUGAACUUGGCUCUGUUUUUGCAGGGGCAUUGGUAUAAGUGUAUACCAAUGCCUUGUAAAAAUUGGUUUUUUAGUCAUCAAUAAAACAAUGUUGCUGAGGAUAUAGCUUGUGGGACAGCGCCUGCCUAGAAAGUGCAAGGUCCUGAGUUUGAUUCCCCCCGCCCCCCCAAAAAAAGAAAAAGUGUACUAAAAUACUCACAUUUUACAUGCUCAUGUGGUUGAGGGGAGAAUUAGUUAAAUGAAAAUGUGCUGAGAAUAUAGCUCAGUGGGUAGAGCACUCCAGGUUCCAUCUCCAGCAUUAGAAAAAAUGGAAUAAAAACAAGAGAAAGCCCAGAAGAGGUGUGUUAUGGUUGAUACAUUGUGUCAACUUGGGGAAUCUAGAGGUUUGGCUAAGAGACUCAGCAGUUUGCCUCUUGGGGUGAAAAGGACAUGCCCUUACCCUUCUGGGA